rnacentral:rRNA from 2 species
ACAGAUGGGAGCUUGCUCCCUGAUGUUAGCGGCGGACGGGUGAGUAACACGUGGGUAACCUGCCUGUAAGACUGGGAUAACUCCGGGAAACCGGGGCUAAUACCGGAUGCUUGUUUGAACCGCAUGGUUCAAACAUAAAAGGUGGCUUCGGCUACCACUUACAGAUGGACCCGCGGCGCAUUAGCUAGUUGGUGAGGUAACGGCUCACCAAGGCGACGAUGCGUAGCCGACCUGAGAGGGUGAUCGGCCACACUGGGACUGAGACACGGCCCAGACUCCUACGGGAGGCAGCAGUAGGGAAUCUUCCGCAAUGGACGAAAGUCUGACGGAGCAACGCCGCGUGAGUGAUGAAGGUUUUCGGAUCGUAAAGCUCUGUUGUUAGGGAAGAACAAGUGCCGUUCAAAUAGGGCGGCACCUUGACGGUACCUAACCAGAAAGCCACGGCUAACUACGUGCCAGCAGCCGCGGUAAUACGUAGGUGGCAAGCGUUGUCCGGAAUUAUUGGGCGUAAAGGGCUCGCAGGCGGUUUCUUAAGUCUGAUGUGAAAGCCCCCGGCUCAACCGGGGAGGGUCAUUGGAAACUGGGGAACUUGAGUGCAGAAGAGGAGAGUGGAAUUCCACGUGUAGCGGUGAAAUGCGUAGAGAUGUGGAGGAACACCAGUGGCGAAGGCGACUCUCUGGUCUGUAACUGACGCUGAGGAGCGAAAGCGUGGGGAGCGAACAGGAUUAGAUACCCUGGUAGUCCACGCCGUAAACGAUGAGUGCUAAGUGUUAGGGGGUUUCCGCCCCUUAGUGCUGCAGCUAACGCAUUAAGCACUCCGCCUGGGGAGUACGGUCGCAAGACUGAAACUCAAAGGAAUUGACGGGGGCCCGCACAAGCGGUGGAGCAUGUGGUUUAAUUCGAAGCAACGCGAAGAACCUUACCAGGUCUUGACAUCCUCUGACAAUCCUAGAGAUAGGACGUCCCCUUCGGGGGCAGAGUGACAGGUGGUGCAUGGUUGUCGUCAGCUCGUGUCGUGAGAUGUUGGGUUAAGUCCCGCAACGAGCGCAACCCUUGAUCUUAGUUGCCAGCAUUCAGUUGGGCACUCUAAGGUGACUGCCGGUGACAAACCGGAGGAAGGUGGGGAUGACGUCAAAUCAUCAUGCCCCUUAUGACCUGGGCUACACACGUGCUACAAUGGGCAGAACAAAGGGCAGCGAAACCGCGAGGUUAA